UGUAACAUCUGACUUUAAUUAAUAGAAGUAAUAUUAAUUAAUGAAGGUUAUUGUGAUUAAUUGGAUAAAUAAUUGACCAAGUAAGAUUAUGUGAGAUACAAGUGAAACCAAUGAGAAGCCUUAGUCAUAGAGGUGGACCCUACACCUCACUUAUAUGCAAAUGAACAACUUACCCUCACACUUUCAUUUUCAUUUACUGAUAACCAAAGAUCAGAAGCUCUCUCUCUCUCUCUCUCGUGAACUCUCACUCUCCUUCUCAUGUUCCUCAUCAUUCUCAAGCAAUAAGCACAAAUCCUUUCAUUCCAAAUCUUGCAUGCAAACACAUAAUUGAAAUCCUUAAUUAGGUCUUGGGCUUUAUUGUAAGGUAAGCUUUUCUCCAAUCCUCCAUCUAUUUCUCUCAAUUUCAAGCCCUUUCUCUCUAGCCCCAAUUCUGAUAUGGGUUUGUGAUGCAUGCUUUUUGUCUACAAAUAAUGGGCUGUGGUGAUUGAGCCAAGAAUUGAAAGUACAAUAAGAAAUUGGAAGAAUUUGGGUUAAACCCGUAAUCUGGACAGACCUCCACUAAAAAGUUUCAUGGAUUUCUAAGCAGUGAUGAAUUCGGGAGAAGCAUUUGAAGUUCGAGGUCUGAUGCAGAACUUUGGGCUACGGGUUUAGAGUGUUGUGGCUGCAAAUUCUGUUUUUCAACUAGCUCCGAAUAUGUUGUUAACACGAUUCAAACGUCAUGUUCAGGUAACAGGUUGAGCAUGAUAAAUGGAUUUUCAAGAGGAUUGAAGUAAAGACGCUGUUUAUGGAAACUUCGUAGCAUUCACCUGUUAGAUUAUUAUAGAAGAUGACUCAAGGCUUGAUCCUGAUUGUUAUGCAUUCUAUUUCGCUCUGAUGUAUAAUAUAUUAUAGGUUGUACAUUAUGACAGUUUAUUCAGGAUUUUGUCAAGAUUAUGUAUUGUCUAGCAAAUUAUCUUGUAAUUGUACUAUGUCGGACAAAAGUUAUUCUGUAAUUUUAAUGUUUCCCGAUUCAGUUAUGUAUAUUCCUAUUGAUAUUCUAGAUAAAUCAAUAUGGGGUGUUAUAAUUGGUAUCAGAGCAGGUCGAUCCAGUAUCAGACCUUGCCAUGGAUCAUUAGAAUUCAAAAUUAAGUGGUGCGGACCCUUUGGAGUCUGGACUGUUUACGCUGAAACCAACGCGUGCUGAGCCCGUACAACUCAGUAUCGUGUAUGGUAGGCAGGGUAUUACGGUUGAGAACCGAAGUGGACCAAGGAGGUCAAGGAUGAAGAGCGUGGUGAAAACGCGAAGUUAGAAGGAAACUUGAAUGAAGAACCCUGGGUAUGAAUGUUGGAGCUGCAGCAGUCGAUGCCACGAAGGUAAGCAUUGUGUCACCAUUAAGUGGUGCAAGGGAUUCAAAGGAUGAUAAGUGGCUUAAUGUCGGUAAUAAGUGGCACGCAUAUGUACGUGUGAAGUGAGGUGUCCAGUGGAAAGUGACGUGUGUAAGCAAUUUGAAUACUCUGGUAAAAGGGAGAUCCCGGUAUCAGGAGAUGUCUCGAUUAGAAUGGAACCGAGACUGUUGGAUACAGAAGCACAUCUUUUGGAACCUUUUGGUAUACGAAAGAUGGGGGAAAGUAAAGCUCAUAUCUCUUGUCAGGGGGAAAAGACAAAAGAUCUACCAGAAAUUUCAUUGGAGUAAAACUAUCCCAAUUCUGACGGAGAACCAAAGAAGUGAAAGCGUCCAAUUAAGACGAAGAAAGAAGGGGUAAAGAAGAUAAAGAAAUGGACAUGGACGUAGGAAUAACAACUGUUCUGGACAAUGUACUAAAUGCGGGGAAUCUCGAUAAAGUCUGUGUAUGUAGACAUGGUCAGAUGAUGUAGGUGCGAAGAGUCGAACGCUUUGGAAAAGACUGGAAUUGAAGUAUUAACAGUUGUGUUGAAGUAUAGAACCAAUACCAAGACCGGAUUAGAGUGAUGCAACUGUAAUUUGAAGAAUGAAGACAAAUGCUGGAGUUGAAAUGACUGAGGGCGGAUUGAGCCCAAAUGUUCAAUAAGAAUGCAGUGCUUGAGGGUCGGGUAAUAAACAACCGAUAAUUGCAUAUGUGGAUUUGUGAGGUCGUUAGUCAAAUAGUGUUGACUGGUACCUAGAGGUUCUGUUGAGUAAAACACCGAAGUUGGAAUUAAGUGAUUGUCAAGUCAGACGACAACCCCCUUAGCUCUAUGAGAAAGUGGAAUGUAAGUUAAGCAAGAAAAAUCAAAGGAUUUCAUGCAUGUGUAGACCGUGACACGUGAGUUAUCUAACUGUCUAUGUGAACCUUCCUUCAACCAGAAUUUUAUCGGAUCAAGUAAUGCUCGGUUCGUAAUUAGUAAACUUUAGAGUAUCCUAAACGAAUGCUCUCUUUAAUUUGUCUGACCUCUUCCGGGCAAAUAAUUCAUUCUAGUGCCUCAAUGCCUAUAAGCUAGGUUCAUGCAAGGAUUCAUCUAAGUCGAAAAUGGUCCCGAUCCGUCGAUAUUAGCGAGUCAAGCUGAUAUUUCAGAAAAUGAUCCUUAAGUACCUUUGAGAUAUAUAUUUUCCCUCGAUUUUUCGAAUUCAUUAUUAGCAAUCGGUUCAAAUCAGCAUAAGUAUGGAGUUGCUCGUAACAAGUAAUGAGUUGUCUUCCUUCGGAAACUAUAAGUAUUCCUAGUGAGUCGUUUAGUUAGCGCCACUAAGUGAACCAAAGUUAAGCAACACAACUCAAUAUUAGUAUUAGAAAUCCAAACUUUUGUGUUCAGAUCUCCAAAAUUAUUUACUGAUCCAGAUCAGUAGAAGUCUGAUUGCUCGCGGAGACUACUGAGUAGUUUCAAUAUCAGCAUUCAGUUAUCUGGUUGACUUAUUAAUCUUUUUCCCUAAACCGUUCAGAAACAAGUAACUUCGCACAAUUCUAACCCCAAUGAAUCGCCUAAAACCUUAGUAUACUUAACCGCUCAGCCAAUAACUCAGUUGUACCAGCCAAUCCUUUCCUAUAAGAUCUUAUUAGUGGAUUCCAAAUAGGAUCCAGACCCGUCCCAAUUAAAAGAGGAGUGUUGGCAGUAAGGAGUCAUGUUGGGUGAGCUUAAGUGCAAUUAGAGAUAUCUCAAUAACUGUCAGCGGAUGAUGAUAGAUGGACAAUGAAGGAAGAUAGUGUCAUUUUGGGAGUUACACCAAAGGAAUGGUUUAGCAGAAUUACCCCUAUCUCAGGACUCGAAGUAUGUUCGAACCUAGAACCCCUUGCAAUGUUAAACUCCCUGGGGAACCAGGCGAGAUACCGGCCUGAUGAAGUAGUGGAAGUAUAUGUAAUGUGAACGUAAGAGAAAUUAGACGACAAGAUGGCCGGUGAGAAUUGAGAAGUUGAAGUAGACCCUAAUUCGUAAAUAGUACCAGUAGAUGGGACGAUGACUGUUGUCGAAGCAACUUGGUCACCAUAAUGGAAGUACACUGAUGAAGAAGAGAUGUGGAGGCAUUUAUGAAGCGAAGAGUUUUGGGAUGUGCGAGUUAGCUGAGAAUGAUUCAGAUUGUCGUGGUGUAGAAUUGAACUGAGAUGUCACAAUAUGGAAGAAGUAAUUAGGUGUAAGAUGGAAUGACUAUCAGUUUGCCUAGUAGAACAAUCUUGAGGGAGCAAGUAGAGCAAAAUACAAUGCAGAGGAAAAUAAGCAGACAAUCAUUCAAGAUUAAGCCACUAAAUGUCGAGACAUAUGAUGCGUCCAAUUUACUAUCGAAGAUUUAAUGGUGUAAGAGAAUUCGGAAAUUAAGCUAUAAUAAAGCUGAUAGAAGAUUAGUUUGGUGCAUUUCGAGAUAAGAGUACGCAGCAAAAGGGUAAAUUAGAGUUGUAUAGUUGUCGAUGUCCUGAGGGUUGAAGUACAAGGAAAUGGAUGACUGUAAGUUGCCUUAGAGCAUGUUGCGAGCGAAGCGCACACGUGUCUGACACUAACUUCCCGAACCAUAAAAACCCGGAUUCAUGCUAAGUUGACAAUCUGUCAACAGAAAUUGCAAGGCGAUAUAAAACUCAAUGUAGUUAAACCGGCGGUAUCAGCAAUAUAAUUGGAAACUCCGAGUAGUCAACAUGUAAGCUAACCUAUCAAUGGGGAUAAUUUAAACGAGAUAUUGGGAUUAGAGAAAACUGGAACUGGUUAAGAACCGUAAUGGCGCAAGCGAGGUGAAUUGACGGAUUUUGGUUAGAGAUGUGAAAUACAGUAUGGUUUUGAUGAGUUGGAAUAGGAGGAAUGUUACACCAGUAUUUGUAUAGCAAGUAAAAAUCAAAAUGGAGUGAUUGAGGAAUAAUGACGGGAAGAAUGUUAACGAUCAUUUUAGUCGAAACAUUGCAACCAACAACUUCAUAAGAUGAAUUAUGUAGUCGAGUAUGAGAAGAGACCUGAAAAAUCAAGUUAAGACACGAACAAUUUAUUCUCUUGAUCAGUUGGUUUUCCGAAUUUCGAGGACGAAAUUCUUUUAAGGGGGGUAGAUUGUAACAUCUGACUUUAAUUAAUAGAAGUAAUAUUAAUUAAUGAAGGUUAUUGUGAUUAAUUGGAUAAAUAAUUGACCAAGUAAGAUUAUGUGAGAUACAAGUGAAACCAAUGAGAAGCCUUAGUCAUAGAGGUGGACCCUACACCUCACUUAUAUGCAAAUGAACAACUUACCCUCACACUUUCAUUUUCAUUUACUGAUAACCAAAGAUCAGAAGCUCUCUCUCUCUCUCUCUCGUGAACUCUCACUCUCCUUCUCAUGUUCCUCAUCAUUCUCAAGCAAUAAGCACAAAUCCUUUCAUUCCAAAUCUUGCAUGCAAACACAUAAUUGAAAUCCUUAAUUAGGUCUUGGGCUUUAUUGUAAGGUAAGCUUUUCUCCAAUCCUCCAUCUAUUUCUCUCAAUUUCAAGCCCUUUCUCUCUAGCCCCAAUUCUGAUAUGGGUUUGUGAUGCAUGCUUUUUGUCUACAAAUAAUGGGCUGUGGUGAUUGAGCCAAGAAUUGAAAGUACAAUAAGAAAUUGGAAGAAUUUGGGUUAAACCCGUAAUCUGGACAGACCUCCACUAAAAAGUUUCAUGGAUUUCUAAGCAGUGAUGAAUUCGGGAGAAGCAUUUGAAGUUCGAGGUCUGAUGCAGAACUUUGGGCUACGGGUUUAGAGUGUUGUGGCUGCAAAUUCUGUUUUUCAACUAGCUCCGAAUAUGUUGUUAACACGAUUCAAACGUCAUGUUCAGGUAACAGGUUGAGCAUGAUAAAUGGAUUUUCAAGAGGAUUGAAGUAAAGACGCUGUUUAUGGAAACUUCGUAGCAUUCACCUGUUAGAUUAUUAUAGAAGAUGACUCAAGGCUUGAUCCUGAUUGUUAUGCAUUCUAUUUCGCUCUGAUGUAUAAUAUAUUAUAGGUUGUACAUUAUGACAGUUUAUUCAGGAUUUUGUCAAGAUUAUGUAUUGUCUAGCAAAUUAUCUUGUAAUUGUACUAUGUCGGACAAAAGUUAUUCUGUAAUUUUAAUGUUUCCCGAUUCAGUUA